GCCGACGUAGCUCAACGGUUGAGCAGCGCUUUUGUAAAGCGAAGGUUGGAGGUUCAAAUCCUCUCGUCGGCU
rnacentral:tRNA from 1 species